CACAGUGAUGCUAUGAUUCCAGAGUGACUAUCUCACAAUUCUGGGCAGGGCAGAGGGACUUACAAAAACAACACAACUUUAGUCUCUCCAGGAGUAUCCUACUCUAUUACAGUUUUUACUGUGAUUAAUCAAAGGGUAUUCAAGGCUUGUUUAUAGCUUCUGUUAGCUGGGAUAGUGAGAGUCUCUCCCUGAGGAAGCAUCCAUCCUUGGGUGAAGAUUAGCUCCUGGACUGGCAAAGAUUCUCCCAGCAUCUUUCCUCUGAGGGCUAGGAAAAGCCACCCUCCGCUGGCUGCUAUCUGAUGUCCACACCAGCUUCCUACUCCAGGUUCUUCCAUUCUAAGAAAUCAGUUUCCCAGAAGCAGACCCUGAGGCUAGGAUUCCUGUGCAAGGGGCUUAUUAAGGAGGUGCUCCCAAGGGAGAUGAAGAAGGGAACAGAGAAAAUGAGACAGGGAAGAGGGAAAAGUCCAGGUAAAAUAUGAUCCAGGCAAAAUCCAGCAGCCUGACUCCACAGGGGAACU